rnacentral:rRNA from 1 species
UAGGGAAUCUUCGGCAAUCGACGAAAGUCUGACCGAGCAACGCCGCGUGAGUGAAGAAGGUUUUCGGAUCGUAAAACUCUGUUGGUAGAGAAGAACGUUGGUGAGAGUGGAAAGCUCAUCAAGUGACGGUAACUACCCAGAAAGGGACGGCUAACUACGUGCCAC